rnacentral:rRNA from 1 species
CCUACGGGUGGCAGCAGUGAGGAAUAUUGGUCAAUGGUCGGGAGACUGAACCAGCCAAGCCGCGUGAGGGAGGAAGGUACAGAGUAUCGUAAACCUCUUUUGUCAGGGAACAAAGACUGGGACGCGUCCCCGGAUGAGUGUACCUGAAGAAAAAGCAUCGGCUAACUCCGUGCCAGCAGCCGCGGUAAUACGGAGGAUGUGAGCGUUAUCCGGAUUUAUUGGGUUAAAAGGGUGCGCAGGCGGUCUGUUAAGUCCGCGGGCAAAGCCCGGGGCUCAACCCCGGCCCGCCAUUGAAACUGGCAGUCUCGAGUUGGAGAGAAGUAUGCGGAAUGCGCGGUGUAGCGGUGAAAUGCAUAGAUAUCGCGCAGAACUCCGAUUGCGAAGGCAGCAUGCCGGCUCCACACUGACGCUGAGGCACGAAAGCGUGGGUAUCGAACAGGAUUAGAUACUCUAGUAGUC